rnacentral:rRNA from 1 species
GAUGAACGCUGGCGGCGUGCCUAAUACAUGCAAGUCGAGCGAACGGACGAGAAGCUUGCUUCUCUGAUGUUAGCGGCGGACGGGUGAGUAACACGUGGAUAACCUACCUAUAAGACUGGGAUAACUUCGGGAAACCGGAGCUAAUACCGGAUAAUAUUUUGAACCGCAUGGUUCAAAAGUGAAAGACGGUCUUGCUGUCACUUAUAGAUGGAUCCGCGCUGCAUUAGCUAGUUGGUAAGGUAACGGCUUACCAAGGCAACGAUGCAUAGCCGACCUGAGAGGGUGAUAGGCCACACUGGAACUGAGACACGGUCAAGACUCCUACGGGAGGCAGCAGUAGGGAAUCUUCCGCAAUGGGCGAAAGCCUGACGGAGCAACGCGGCGUGAGUGAUGAAGGUCUUCGGAUCGUAAAACUCUGUUAUUAGGGAAGAACAUAUGUGUAAGUAACUGUGCACAUCGUGACGGUACCUAAUCAGAAAGCCACGGCUAACUACGUG